rnacentral:rRNA from 1 species
CUACGGGAUGCACCAGUGAGGAAUAUUGCGCAAUGGGGGAAACCCUGACGCAGCGACGCCGCGUGGAUGAUGAAGGCCUUCGGGUCGUAAAAUCCUGUCAGAAGGAAAGAAGUGUAUGGUAGCUAAUAUCUGCCAUACUUGACGGUACCUUCAAAGGAAGCACCGGCUAACUCCGUGCGCAGCAGCCGCGGUAAUACGGAGGGUGCAAGCGUUGUUCGGAAUUACUGGGCGUAAAGCGCGCGUAGGCGGUUUUAUAAGUCAGAUGUGAAAGUCCACGGCUCAACCAUGGAAGUGCAUUUGAAACUGUAAGACUUGAGUAUUGGAGGGGGUAGUGGAAUUCCCGGUGUAGAGGUGAGAUUCGUAGAUAUCGGGAGGAGUACCGGUGGCGAAGGCGACUAUCUGGCCAAAUACUGACGCUGAGGUGCGAAAGCGUGGGGAGCAAACAGGAUUAGAUACCCGCGUAGUC